CAGGAAGUUCCGGUAGGCGCACACCAUUCUUUAGAAUUUAGAAAACGUUUAAACUGUGCUGUCCAUUUCUCUUUAUUACUACAGAUUAAAUCUGAGGUUUGUAACAUCAACAGUGAGGACAAACCCAGCCUGCCACACUGAAUCCAAACCUACGGUCACUGGGUCCUGAUUGUGACAGUGGAGCCCAGUUUGCGCCUCAGGAUCCAGAGAUGACAUCAGUGAAGCUGGAAGACUGCAGUCAAACACUGGAGCUGAAUGCCAACAUUAAAGAUGAAGAAGAGGAGGAGACGAUUGGGAAAUCUGUUCAUCAUGGAGACCACGUUGAGACAUUCUCUACAUCCAGAGAGCAACAUCAGGAAGAUCACAGAGCUAGGAGGUCUCACCACUGCCCACAUUGUGAGGAGAUUUUCCCACUUCUAUCAAAACUAAAAAUACACCUAAAAAUACACACAGGAGAAAAGCCUUACUCCUGCUCUGACUGUGGGGCGAGUUUCUCUCGACUGGGCACCUUAAAACAAC